AUAAAGUUUUAUUUUAGCUUAUAUUUUUAAUUUAUGGAUUAUUUUAUAUGUAAAUUUUUGUGAAUAUUAAAUAUAUUUAAAUUAGGUAUAUUAUGUUUUAUUAAGCAAUAUUGAAGAUUGAAAAUAAAAGAAAUUUUGAUUUAGGAAUUCAUAGUAGUAUUAACUAAAUUUGUGCCAGCAGUUGCGGUUACACAAAUAAUGCAAUUAAAUAUUUUUAGUAAAUAAUUAAUUUAUUUUGUUUUAGUUUUAGGUUAAAUUUAUUAGGUGAAAUUAUUAAUUUUAAUUUAAGCUAUAAAAUAAAAAAUGAGGUUAUGAAAUUUUUUUUUAUAAACUAGGAUUAGAUACCCUAUUAUUGAAAAUUUAAAUUAUUAUACUAGAUUAGUAGUAGUUAUGUUCUUGAAAUUCAAAAAAUCUGGCGGUAUUUUAGUCUAUUCAGAGGAACCUGUCCUAUAAUUGAUAGUCCACGAUUAAUUUUACUUAUCUUAAAGGUUUGUAUAUCGUCGUAGUUUGAAUGUUUUAAAAGAAUAAUGAAUGUUCAUGAUUUAUAAUAAUAAAAGAAAUCAGAUCAAGAUACAGCGGAUAGAUAAGAAGAGAUGGGUUACAAUAAAUUUAUUUAAAUGGUUAUUUUAAUUAACAUUAUAAUAUAAAGUGGAUUUGAUAGUAAUAUAAUUAAGUUAAAUUAUAUGAUUUUAGCUCUAAAAUAUGCACAUAUCGCCCGUCGCUCCCACUUUAAGGUGGGAUAAGUCGUAACAGAGUAGGCGUACUGGAAAGUGUGCCUGGUCAGG
rnacentral:ncRNA from 1 species